rnacentral:lncRNA from 1 species
CACUAGGAUCACGAAUCCCCAAGCAAUACCCGUUCACUUUUUAAUCGUGCAAAUUUGACACAGUUCCAUAAAAAGAUGAAUUAAUAUUCCUAUUUUAAUUUAGCAAUCUCUCUCGAGCAAUGUCAAACUUACCCCAAUAUAUGAUUCGACUAUAUCUAUAUGACGAAUACUAACAUACCGGAAUGCAUUAUGAUUUCAUGAAUAUCCAACAAUUCACACAAGGCAUGGAGGUAUAUUUCUAUUCUUUAUCGGACCCUAUGAUGAUUUAUACUAUGUCGAACAUAUUUUCCUUCUUUCGAAUGCAUAAAACGGCCACCAAAAUCAUAUAAUUACGUGCACAAUAAUAAUAUAGAAAUAAAAACGUAAUAAAUCAUUCAAUUCCGGAACAUGCGUUUAAAUAUGUCAAAUAUCAAAAUCAAACAUAGUAUUACAAGGUUCAUCGAUCUCCUAGCAAUGAAAAAUCUAGCCUAGCAUGUUAAAAAGAAGAAAAUACAAAAAUAGUUGAAGAAACAUCAUCACCCGAAUCAAGUUUCAAUCAAAUCUUCACUUGGCGCGAUGCUUUCCUCUUAUUCUUUCUUCGUUUCUCCUUCAAAAUCGCUCAUAAACUUGUAAAAACGGCCUCCCCCUCAUUCUGGAAGUCUUUUGGUAUUUAUAUCGAGUAAAAAUUUUGUUACCAAAAGAGUUUCAAUCGUACAAGAAAAGUAAAAUUUUUGCUUCGAAAAACUACCAUACGACUGCAUGGUUUUAAUCUGUGCGGCCGCAUGGUAGAUUCUCACUUUCAUUUUCUCCACUUUGGUCCCUCUACUUGAAUUUUUCACUUUUUAGCAUCUUUUCGUCGUUCUUUCCAAUCCAUCAUCCCAAGAUAUCAUCGAUUGACAUUUGGUUUAACCAAUUUCUCGAUUUAUUCAUCGGGUCAACUUUUGAAUAAUUGCAUCUUGGUCCCUGAACUUUCACUUUGAGUCAUUUUAGUCCUUUUCGCGUCUUUUCUCCUGAAUUUCACCAUGUUCAUUGGCGUUCUCUACAAUUCACAAUUGUAAUGAGAUUAAAUCACAAUUCAAUCAUUUUGCUCGUUAUUAAGUCAUAUUUGUGAUCUAAAUAAGUGUGCAAAAAUGCACUUAUCAAACCCCUCAAACUUAAACUAUUGUUUAUUCUCAAACAAGAUAGUGACUUAAUUCUAAACAAACAUGGCUUAAUACUUUGUUGUGGCUCAGAAUUGGACUAAGUAUUUGACUUUAUGAAAAUUUAUCAGUGCAAAGAUGACAUCAACCUUUAUCUACUAAAUGCAAAUUGACGUGUGUGUAUGAAUUCAUGCCAACAUAUCAGGUUCAUGAUGAAUUUGAGUCCCGACCGUAAGUGGUCAAAUGUAUCCUUACUCGCUCGAGAGAUACACAACCCCCCAAACUUAUUCUUUUCACUCCAUUAUCUCGGGGUUCUGUUUUAAGAUUAGGAAUUUACAUAACUGUAGUCCUCAUUUUCUCGUAGUUUGGAUUAGUCUUACUAUCACAAGUUCACACUUCAACAAGUGAAGGCUUUCUUAAGUUUGAUUGCUUCGACACUCAAGAUUAAAUUAGGUUACUUGCCUCGCCUCAAAGGUAUAGUUUCUUCAACCAAAUGUCCAAGGGCUUUUCGUCAUGUUAUUGUCUCUCUUUUGUUUUUC